rnacentral:rRNA from 1 species
UACGUAGGGGGCAAGCGUUGUCCGGAUUUAUUGGGCGUAAAGAGCGUGUAGGCGGCCAGACAGGUCAGCUGUGAAAACUCGAGGCUCAACCUCGAGACGUCGGUUGAAACCGUCUGGCUAGAGUCCGGAAGAGGAGAGUGGAAUUCCCGGUGUAGCGGUGAAAUGCGCAGAUAUCGGGAAGAACACCCGUGGCGAAGGCGGCUCUCUGGGGCGGUACUGACGCUGAGGUGCGAAAGCGUGGGGAGCAAACAGG